rnacentral:rRNA from 1 species
CCUACGGGAGGCUGCAGUAGGGAAUCUUCCACAAUGGACGUAAGUCUGAUGGAGCAACGCCGCGUGAGUGAAGAAGGGUUUCGGCGCGUAAAGCUCUGUUGGUAGUGAAGAAAGAUAGAGGUAGUAACUUGCCUUUAUUUGACGGUAAUUACUUAGAAAGUCACGGCUAACUACGUGCGAGCAGCCGCGGUAAUACGUAGGUGGACAGCGUUGUCCGGAUUUAUUGGUCGUAAAGGGAGUGCAGGCGGUUCAAUAAGACUGAUGUGAAAGCCUUCGGCUCAACCGGAGCAUUGCAUCAUAAACUGUUGAACUUGAGUGCAGAAGAGGAGAGUGGAACUCCAUGUGUAGCGGUGGAAUGCGUAGAUAUAUGGAAGAACACCAGUGGCGAAGGCGGCUCUCUGGUCUGCAACUGACGCUGAGGCUCGAAAGCAUGGGUAGCGAACAGGAUUAGAUACCCUGGUAGUC